UGUUCGCCUGUACUGAGAAUACUUAAAAUAACAAAAAUACUAAUGAACACAAAGGAGGAUCCUGAGGUCGGGACGUUCCUUGAAGGAGGAUACUCUGAAGAAUCUGAUACAGACUCAAAUAUUCUUUUGGAGGAUAAUUUACUUAAUAGCCUGGACUAUUGGCUUGAAAGAUUGUUUGAUGGGAGAACACAAAAAUACUAUAUAAAUUAUUGGCCAGACUUUACUACAAAAUAACCAUGUCCGUGUCAAUGUCGUCAAAUUUCUCAAGAAACUCUUCGCAAAACUUUGACCGGGUGAAGUUGGAAUUCGCCCUAUGAAACUUCCAAUAUCAUUCAGUGGCCAGAUGAUUACUUAAAAUGUUCUGAUCUGCGUUCAGAUUCGGAAGCGCUUAAGACAAAAUUCGAUAGAGGAAUUUUCAGGUCUGUAGACCAUCUCGAGCGGCUUCAAACCAGAUCCGCCCGCUCUGGAUACUGGAACUUUAACCUGGUGGACUGCAACGUUCGACCUGUUGCUUACACCGCUAACCUGGUGACGGUUACCGUUCCCUUUAGCUCCAUAUGAAUUAGACGUUCGUUUGUUCGCCUGUACUGAGAAUACUUAAAAUAACAAAAAUACUUAUGAACACAAAGGAGGAUCCUGAGGUCGGGACGUUCCUUGAAGGAGGAUACUCUGAAGAAUCUGAUACAGACUCAAAUAUUCUUUUGGAGGAUAAUUUACUUAAUAGCCUGGACUAUUGGCUUGAAAGAUUGUUUGAUGGGAGAACACAAAAAUACUAUAUAAAUUAUUGGCCAGACUUUACUACAAAGUAAUAAGCCUAAAAGUACCUAUGUUAAUGAAAUGUUUAUAACUGAAGCACAUUUAAAGUCAAAUAAUAAAUCGGUCCCUUAAAUUAGAAUACUUAAAAUAACAAAAAUACUUAUGAACACAAAGGAGGAUCCUGAGGUCGGGACGUUCCUUGAAGGAGGAUACUCUGAAGAAUCUGAUACAGACUCAAAUAUUCUUUUGGAGGAUAAUUUACUUAAUAGCCUGGACUAUUGGCUUGAAAGAUUGUUUGAUGGGAGAACACAAAAAUACUAUAUAAAUUAUUGGCCAGACUUUACUACAAAGUAAUAAGCCUAAAGUACCUAUGUAAAUGAAAUGUUUAUAACUGAAGCACAUUUAAAGUCAAAUAAUAAAUCGGUCCCUUAAAUUGUACGUGAACUACA